rnacentral:tRNA from 1 species
UUUAGUAAGGUGUUAUGGGCACGCUAUAUUUUGGUUAUAACGGGGACUUGUAGUCUGCUUUUC